UCCACGCCGUAAACGAUGGAUACUAGCUGUUCGGACUUCGGUCUGAGUGGCUAAGCGAAAGUGAUAAGUAUCCCACCUGGGGAGUACGUUCGCAAGAAUGAAACUCAAAGGAAUUGACGGGGGCCCCGCACAAGCGGUGGAGCAUGUGGUUUAAUUCGAUGAUACGCGAGGAACCUUACCAGGGCUUAAAUGUAAGUUGCAUUAGUUGGAGACAGCUAUUUCUUCGGACCACU
rnacentral:rRNA from 1 species